CUAACACAUGCAAGUCGAGCGGUAGAGAGAAGCUUGCUUCUCUUGAGAGCGGCGGACGGGUGAGUAAUGCCUAGGAAUCUGCCUGGUAGUGGGGGAUAACGUCGGAAACGGACGCUAAUACCGCAUACGUCCUACGGGAGAAAGCAGGGGACCCUUCGGCCCUUGCGCUAUCAGAUGAGCCUAGGUCGGAUUAGCUAGUUGGUGAGGUAAUGGCUCACCAAGGCGACGAUCCGUAACUGGUCUGAGAGGAUGAUCAGUCACACUGGAACUGAGACACGGUCCAGACUCCUACGGGAGGCAGCAGUGGGGAAUAUUGGACAAUGGGCGAAAGCCUGAUCCAGCCAUGCCGCGUGUGUGAAGAAGGUCUUCGGAUUGUAAAGCACUUUAAGUUGGGAGGAAGGGCAGUUACCUAAUACGUGAUUGUUUUGACGUUACCGACAGAAUAAGCACCGGCUAACUCUGUGCCAGCAGCCGCGGUAAUACAGAGGGUGCAAGCGUUAAUCGGAAUUACUGGGCGUAAAGCGCGCGUAGGUGGUUUGUUAAGUUGGAUGUGAAAUCCCCGGGCUCAACCUGGGAACUCCAUUCAAAACUGACGACCUAGAGUAUGGUAGAGGGUGGUGGAAUUUCCUGUGUAGCGGUGAAAUGCGUAGAUAUAGGAAGGAACACCAGUGGCGAAGGCGACCACCUGGACUGAUACUGACACUGAGGUGCGAAAGCGUGGGGA
rnacentral:rRNA from 1 species